GAGUUGUGAUCGCACCACUGCACGACAGCCUGGGCGAAAGAGUGAGAACCUGUCUCAAAAAAAAAAGAGAAUCUUCACAGGCAUCCCUUCCUCCCAAGUCUCCUCACUUGUCUUAUCUGAAGGUUUGUUCCCCAGAACUAUGAGAACCCUCUACAUCUCUUUCUCUCAGCCCAGCCAGGUUCCUCUGGGCUUGAGUCCUACAUCCCUGGCCUCAGCUACAAGGCAUGAGUUCCUGCUGUUCAUGAAACCAAUUGGAAAGUAAGGGGCACUACUGCACUGAUAAUCUUGGCUCCUUGCUCAAAGGCACGGAGAACCACCUCUCCCUAACCUGCAAUGUGGGAAAUGUCUCACAUACUAUAUGGGAGACUGCAGAGAAGAAAGGGGUCACCAGAACAAUAAACCCAAACAGGAUAUACAAUGGAAUGUACGCUAUGAUUACAACUCUGCUAAAAUAUAUCUGCCAGUGGACUAGCCCAGGAAACGAACAAGCAAAAGUGAAAGCAACUGCAUGAUUCAGCGUUUGUCUCUUCCAGAAUCGAAGCUGCAAAGCUACAAAUGGUUCUUCAAAUGGAGCCCCAGAUGCAAUCCAUGAGUAAAAUCUACCACGGACCCCUGGACCGGCCUGCUAGCCCAUGCUCCAAUGUUAAUGACAUCAAAGGCACCCCUCCCGAGGAAAUCUCAACUGCAGAACCCCUACUACGCCCCAAUUCAGCAGGAAGCAGUUAGAGCGGUGGUCGGCCAACUUCCCCAAUAGCACUUGGGUUUUCCUGUUGAGGGGGGCACUGAGAGACAGGACUAGCUGGAUUUCCUAGGCUGACUAAAAAUCC
rnacentral:lncRNA from 1 species